AUGAAAGUACAUCAAUGUCUACAAGGGAAGUUACAUUACAUGGUUGUGAAUACUGUUAGCAAAAAUCAAAAAAACGUUUUUAAAAGGAGAGACCGACGAAGAAGAGGUUACGAUCUCUGGAGUGAGUCGUUUUUCACAGUGAUGGUGUUUUAUUCUGUGGUAAACCAGACCAGCAUGCUUUGCAGCUCAAGUGUUUGAUGAAAGGCAACGUAUCACUUCUCUGAGCGAGACCACCUCCUUAUUGUUCUCACAUUCAAAAGUUUAAAAAAAACACAAUUUUAGGACGUUUUGGAGAGAAUGUGCAUCUGAAAUAGGGCACAGGAAUGACACCCUAUUCCCUAUAUAGUCUACUACUUUUCACCAAGGUCCAUAGCACUAUGUAGGGAACAGGGUGCCAUUUCAUGCACAGCCUGAGUGUGUCUUGAAAAGGAAUAAUGAUUGGUCAGUUCUGGUACACCAGUCUGUAUCAGAUGGCAGGAUAUGUUAUCAGACAGGUCAGAAAGGGCUUUGUGUACAUUGUCCAUCCAGGUGCCCAAGAGGAGAAAGCUGAGAUUUUCUGAUACCGGAGCAGACAACUCUCAGCCAUCACCAGUCAUACCUGGAGGAAGCACAGAUCGCUGCGCCAGAGGAAACCUUUCCCAGAGUGAAAGGACCAGAUGAGUCACAGUGGGUAAAAGAGGGGUACAUUUACUGUAAACAACAGUUGAAUUCACAUUUAGAAAUACCCCAACACUGAACAGUUGCUAUAGGGGGUAGAGGCUAAGUGUCGAAGGCAGUGGUAUUCAAAGGCGAGGAUCGCGACCCCCCCCACUAAACAAAUAGUACGAGUACAGAUUAUUGUAUGAGACAAUGUACAAACGUAUUUGAAAAAUAAAAUUGAGUACAUUUAUUUUGGUUUCUUGUAAAUGUAAUGAAUUAAGGGUUAUUCGUUGAUGUAAAAAUCUAAAAUGUACUNNNNNNNNNNAUUCAGAACACUUACAGAAUCUGAACUUUGUUCACCGCAUGAGUUCUGCUCACACCGAGCUAGAGAACUGAAAACUGGGUCGACGGGGAGAGGAGAGACCGACGAAGAAGAGGUUACGAUCUCUGGAGUGAGUCGUUUUUCACAGUGAUGGUGUUUUAUUCUGUGGUAAACCAGACCAGCAUGCUUUGCAGCUCAAGUGUUUGAUGAAAGGCAACGUAUCACUUCUCUGAGCGAGACCACCUCCUUAUUGUUCUCACAUUCAAAAGUUUAAAAAAANNNNNNNNNNAAAAAAACACAAUUUUAGGACGUUUUGGAGAGAAUGUGCAUCUGAAAUAGGGCACAGGAAUGACACCCUAUUCCCUAUAUAGUCUACUACUUUUCACCAAGGUCCAUAGCACUAUGUAGGGAACAGGGUGCCAUUUCAUGCACAGCCUGAGUGUGUCUUGAAAAGGAAUAAUGAUUGGUCAGUUCUGGUACACCAGUCUGUAUCAGAUGGCAGGAUAUGUUAUCAGACAGGUCAGAAAGGGCUUUGUGUACAUUGUCCAUCCAGGUGCCCAAGAGGAGAAAGCUGAGAUUUUCUGAUACCGGAGCAGAC
rnacentral:lncRNA from 13 species